UACGUAGGGUGCAAGCGUUGUCCGGAAUUAUUGGGCGUAAAGCGCGUGUAGGCGGUUUGGUAGGUCCGCUGUGAAAACUCGAGGCUCAACCUCGAGACGCCGGUGGAAACCAUCAGGCUAGAGUCCGGAAGAGGAGAGUGGAAUUCCUGGUGUAGCGGUGAAAUGCGCAGAUAUCAGGAAGAACACCCGUGGCUAAGGCGGCUCUCUAGUACGGUACUGACGCUGAGACGCGAAAGCGUGGGGAGCGAACAGG
rnacentral:rRNA from 1 species